UACGUAGGAUCCGAGCGUUGUCCGGAAUUACUGGGUGUAAAGGGCGUGUAGGUGGGCUUUUAAGUCGGUGGUGAAAUCCUGCAGCUCAACUGCAGAAUUGCCCUCGAUACUGAGAGCCUUGAGUGCGGCAGAGGGAGAUGGAAUUCAUGGUGUAGCGGUGAAAUGUGUAGAUAUCAUGAAGAACACCGGUAGCGAAGGCGGUCUCCUGGUCCGUAACUGACACUGAGGCGCGAAAGCGUGGGGAG
rnacentral:rRNA from 1 species